rnacentral:piRNA from 1 species
UCAGGGGCUGCCUGAGUAAUAAACUCAU